rnacentral:rRNA from 1 species
CGCGCAGGCGGUUUUGUAAGUCAGAUGUGAAAGCCCGGGGCUUAACCCCGGAAGUGCAUUUGAUACUGCAAGACUUGAGUAUGGGAGGGGGAAGUGGAAUUCCUGGUGUAGAGGUGAAAUUCGUAGAUAUCAGGAGGAACACCAGUGGCGAAGGCGACUUCCUGGACCAAUACUGACGCUGAGGCGCGAAGGCGUGGGGAGCAAACA